AGAGGGAGAAGCAGGCUCCAUGUAGGGAGCCCGAUGCGGGACCCGAUCCCAGGACCCCAAGAUCACACCCCGAGCCGGAAGGCAGGCGCCCAACCGCUGAGCCACCCGGGCGUCCUUGUUGCUUGCAAUUUAAAUGGGAGUCUCCGAUUGAAAAUUUUAAAAGUUUCUCAAGGCUAAGAAGCCACGUCAAGGACAUGCCAUCACGCUUUACCUGCAGUACACAAAAAUUCAGGUGAAUUCCUCUCUUUCUGAGGUCCUCAAAAUAUCUUGAGAUUUCUGCUCCUGCCAGGAAGUGGCCAACCUUACUGACCUGGGAAGGAAGCUGAGAACCCUGUAAGCAAGAAACCAGAGAACCAGAGGGCACAGCCUCAGGAGGACAACAGUCCCAUCUCGGUCACCAAAUUUACAGCUGAACCUUGGUGACUCACACAUAGAAACCACGCCAGGACUCAGUGAUCUUUGAGGAUGUGGGGGUGGACUUCACCCUGGAGGAGUGGACUUUGCUGCAUUCUAGGCAGAAGAAUCUCUACAGAGAUGUGAUGCUGGAAACUUUCCAGAACCUGGUCUCAGUGGGUAAGGAUGGAUUCAGGCCUUCACUUGGAUCUCUUGUCAGUGCUCUUCCAUGAUUUAAAGUGUGGAAGGACACUUCAAAGGAAGACAGACAUGGUUACAGCCAUCAUGGACUUAGAAUCUGAUAAUGUCUCAUGACAGUGAAAAUGAGUGCAUUAAACUGAAGUUUUAUUUUUGUUUUGGUUCAGAAGACUUGAAGCUCCUUAAAGUUCAGUAGUGGGAGACUGGCUUCAUAAGUUGUUUUGGUUCACAGUUUUCUUGGAAAACUUGUUAUAGUCAUUAGUAAAUUGCCUACCAUUUUGACCUCUCCUGCCUGCCAUUGAUGAAGUCCUGAAAACCCUAAAGCCCUCAGUCUUUCUUUGCUCACAAGUUACUUCUUCAAGAUGUUCAUUCACAUUUUUAUUUGUUUAAGAUUAUGAAACACUGUUUAAACCCAGUGAGUUGGUUUCUAAACACGAUAUGCAUGAGGAAAAAAAUCUAAUGAAGAGAAAAUGGCAAAGUGCACAAGAAAUCAUUCUUGUGCCUACAUAUUAGAAAAAAAUUGGGAAGACCAUAGCAUUGAAGAUCAGCAUGGAAACCAUGCAAUACAUCUGAGGUGAGUUGUGCUGACAACAUAAAGCAGUAGUAAUCCCAGGACAGAGUUUCAGCAUAUCAUGAAAUUUUAAAAACAAAAAACCCAGCUCCAAAUCAGAGAGAGCGUGAGAGCAAGCAAGCACACAAG